rnacentral:rRNA from 3 species
AAAUUGAAGAGUUUGAUCAUGGCUCAGAUUGAACGCUGGCGGCAGGCCUAACACAUGCAAGUCGAACGGUAACAGGAAGCAGCUUGCUGCUUCGCUGACGAGUGGCGGACGGGUGAGUAAUGUCUGGGAAACUGCCUGAUGGAGGGGGAUAACUACUGGAAACGGUGGCUAAUACCGCAUAACGUCGCAAGACCAAAGAGGGGGACCUUCGGGCCUCUUGCCAUCAGAUGUGCCCAGAUGGGAUUAGCUUGUUGGUGAGGUAACGGCUCACCAAGGCGACGAUCCCUAGCUGGUCUGAGAGGAUGACCAGCCACACUGGAACUGAGACACGGUCCAGACUCCUACGGGAGGCAGCAGUGGGGAAUAUUGCACAAUGGGCGCAAGCCUGAUGCAGCCAUGCCGCGUGUAUGAAGAAGGCCUUCGGGUUGUAAAGUACUUUCAGCGGGGAGGAAGGU